rnacentral:tRNA from 1 species
AAAAGUUUAGUUAAAUUAUAACGUUAGCCUGUCAAGCUAAAAUCAUUAUUAUAAAUAAUAAUUUUUA